UGGAGGAAUACCCAAGUCCGGCUGAAGGGAUCGGUCUUGAAAACCGACAGGAGCUUAACGGCUCGCGGGGGUUCGAAUCCCUCUUCCUCCGU
rnacentral:tRNA from 8 species